CCAGAUUUCCUUAGUCACCAGUGCACUGGUCACUUUCUAUCACUUCUGGGACUCCAUAUCUGCACACAACUUCGGUGAGUAGAUGUUUGGCUGUAGUCUUGGCUGUCAUGUUAGUGACUGGAAAGGCUUCUGGCCAUCCUGAAAACAUAUCAACUAUGACCAGUGCAUAUUCAUACUGGCCACUCUUUGGCAUCUGAAUAUGGUCAAAUUGGGCCCUCUAAAAGGGAUAUUGAGGCUUGGCUAGAUGUUUGGGGGGCAGCUUUUUCCAUUCUCCCUG